rnacentral:rRNA from 1 species
GACGAACGCUGGCGGCGCGCUUAACACAUGCAAGUCGAGCGAGAACCGGGGCUUCGGCCCCGGGGACAGCGGCGAACGGGUGAGUAACACGUGAGUAACCUGCCCUCGGCACCGGAAUAGCCCGGGGAAACUCGGAUUAAUGCCGGAUAGCCCCUCUGCCCUGCGGGGCGGCGGGAAAAGGUAGCUUCGGCCUCUGGCCGAGGAUGGGCUCGCGGCGGAUUAGCUUGUUGGCGGGGUAACGGCCCACCAAGGCGACGAUCCGGAGCUGGUCUGAGAGGACGAUCAGCCACACUGGGACUGAGACACGGCCCAGACUCCUACGGGAGGCAGCAGUGGGGAAUCUUGCGCAAUGGGCGAAAGCCUGACGCAGCGACGCCGCGUGCGGGAAGAAGGCCUUCGGGUUGUAAACCGCUUUCAGGAGGGACGAAGCCACUCGGGUGAACAGCCCAGAGGGUGACGGUACCUCCAGAAGAAGCCCCGGCUAACUACGUGCCAGCCGCCGCUGUAACAC